rnacentral:rRNA from 1 species
UACGAAGGGUGCGAGCGUUGUCCGGAAUCACUGGGCGUAAAGGGCGCGUAGGCGGCUUGAUAAGCGUGCGGUGAAAGCCCGGGGCUCAACCCCGGGUCGGCCGUGCGAACUGUCGAGCUGGAGCACUGUAGAGGCAGGUGGAAUUCCGGGUGUAGCGGUGGAAUGCGUAGAGAUCCGGAAGAACACCGGUGGCGAAGGCGGCCUGCUGGGCAGUGGCUGACGCUGAGGCGCGACAGCGUGGGGAGCAAACAGG